ACUGAUGCUGGCACUCGCUGAGAGCCUUCUGCAGCCAGCAUCCAGAGAUGUCCAUCUGGUCCUUGGUCCCACAUCCACAGCGGUGACCCUCUAUCCCAAUUCACUGGCUAGUCAGUGGCUUCUCCACAUGCCGGGGGCGGGGGCAGGGAGGCUUCUCAGCUAUGUGGGGUCCAGGGGACUUGCUGGGGACUCCCUUAGCGGACACACCACAUCACUAUUUCUCCUUGGGAGCUGCUCCAUCCUCCUGGCCCAGGGGAAUUCUUCCAUAGGCAAAACCUGCAAAGUGAGGCAUGGGUCUUCAACCCCCCAUCCUGUCUGGGGUGGGGGGCACUUAUUUGUCCCCCAACCUCUCAUCUAAGGUCAGUGCGUUGGAGGAAGGGAGCAGCACUCAGGGCCCCUUCUUAGUCACACUUGUCACCCUCUCGUCAUCUUGCUUCCCUUCACCUCUUGUCUUUUCCUUUUUAAUCUCAUUUGAGUGGAAGAAUUCAAAAGUAGAGGACUGACUCAUUACUGCCAUAACCGCCCAAUCCUGAGGGCCAGCGAAUAGAAGGCUUUUGCUGUGGCUUGUAUUAGGGGUGGGAGGAAGGCAAAGGAAGCAAUAAAUGCCACGAAUGAAGCAGGAAUUUAGAAUUUAGAAUCUUGCCCUCAGAUACCUCUUGAGUCUCUCAUAUUAAGUUCAGCUUUUUCUGGCUUCAUUUCAUUUUUGUCUCUUACCUGGAUUGCUACAAUUUAAAAAAAAAAAUCUUGAAUUCUGAAUCUGGUUUGCAGAACCUUUCUUUAGUCCAUUUCUCCCAGCUUUAUUGACAUUUAACACAGAACAUUGUGUAAGUUGGGACGCCUCCGUGGCUCAGUGGUGGAGUGUCUACUGAGGGGAGCCUGCUUCCCCCUCUGCCUAUGUCUUUGCCUUUCUGUCUCUCAUAAAUAAAUAAAUCCUUUUUUUUAAAGAACAUUAUGUAGGGAUCCCUGGGUGGCUCAGUGGUUUAGCGCCUGUCUUUGGCCCAGGGCGCAAUCCUGGGGCCCCAGGAUCGAGUCCCACGUCAGGCUCCUAGCAUGGAGCCUGUCUCUCCCUCUGCCUGUAUCUUUGCCUCUCUAUGUCUAUCAUAAAUAAAUAAAAUAUUAAAAAAAGAACAUUAUGUAAGUUUAAGGUGUGCAGUGGGACGAUCUGAUACAUGUACUCAUUGUAAAAUGGUCACCACAAUAAGGUCAGUGAACACCCCCGUCGUCUCAUGUAGUCUUCAAUGGAUUCUUGAUAAUGUGGCCAGAGUGAUUUACCUGCUCUCAAGUGUAAAUCUAGUCAUGAUACUUCCGUCCUGCAAGGUUUCAGUGGCAUCCACCACCUUCAGUUGAAGUCAGAACCGCCAAGGACCCCAAGGCAAGGUCGCAGUCUGGAACGUGGCCAUCCCAUGUGCUCUGGAGCCCUAGCAAAACCACUGAUGGGCCCGUCAGGGCGUCAGGCUGAAUUUCAGUGUGUGGCUCUGAAGGAUAUGUCCUUUCCCCUGGGCUUUCCACCCAUCCACCUGAAUCAAGGUGGACAUCUACUCAUCCUUUCCAUUUUAGCUCAAAUGCCACCUCCUCAAAGACACUAACCCCCUCCUCUACCUGUUGAGCAGAAGCCAGGACUCCUUUCAUAGUGUCACUGUCUUACUGUUCCUGACUGAUGGCUGUGUCUGCCUCCUUCACUGGACCUUAGCUUUUUGAGGGUAGGGACUGUGUAUUAUCACGUUGGUGUUCUCAGUGCUUAGCUCAGUCCCUUGUGACACUGGAGGUGCUCAGAUGUUUGAAUAAACAGCCACUGGCAGGGGAUGCUAGCAGAAGCAAAGCCACCAUCGAGGUAACAAAAGGCUGCUGGCCAAAGAGGGAGGCACUGUCUGGAAAUACCCGUUUCAGUAUCUAUUUGUCCUUUCCCGCCCACUUUGAGGGCUACAAAGCACAGCACUUUGCCUUUUCAGUGGUCCCCUGCAGCUGUGCCGGCGCUCCGGGUGGCCGCGGAUGGGGGUGCUGUGCAACAGCGGUGGCCCCAGUCCCUCCGCAAAGGCUACCAUCUACACUGGGCAUCCUGGUUCCUACGGCAGGAAGCACGUUCAGUUACUACCACGUUCAAAGCACGGUGCUGGGUGUUGCUUGUAAUUUAGAAAGAGUUUUCGCAGGACCAGUUAAAACAUUUUUUUUUCCCUUGAGUUUUAGUUUUCAGGACAAUUUUUCCAUCUAGAGUUCAUUUUCACUGAGGAUAUAAGAGGCGCUGCGGUGGCAUUUGGUAACUGGGCACUAAUCUCCCUUGAAUAUCCCUAAUACUGUGGUUAGCAAAGGAGCCUCAAGUCAGGAAGAGGGUAGCAUGAGAAAGGAAAGAAAAUAUGGAAAUGCUUAAACAAACUGUGAUAUAUCCAUAAAAUAGAACACUCUGAAGGAGUUAAAAACAGUACUAACUCGGACAGAGCUUCCAAAGAGAUCUAAAACCAGCUAACUAUAGAACAAGACACACCGAUAAGAGAACUUAUGCACUCCUCCCCCCAAAACAAUUAGAUAUCUCUAUAAUCACAUAUUAUGUAUAAAUGCAUAUAAAUGUGCCCAAAGGGCAUAAUUUGUAGGAAUGGAACUGAAAGAUCAAGAGUGACUUUUCUAUCUGUAUUAAGAAUGUUUGCAAAAAGAAAUCACACAUAAAGGAGUAGCAUAAAGGUUUUUUUUUCCUGAAAAGGGACAGCAGGGAGAUAAAUAUUCAAAGAUGUAUACCAUUGUGAAAUGGAAAACAAUUUUCCUAGGUGAUAGGCUGUUAAAUAUUGGGAACUGAUAAAUUUUUGUACCUGUCUUCUUAAAAAAAGUCUGCAGUUCACAGUUU
rnacentral:lncRNA from 1 species